UCCGGUUUGUCACCGGCGGUCCCCUUAGAGUUCCCAACUGAAUGCUGGCAACUAAGGGCAAGGGUUGCGCUCGUUGCGGGACUUAACCCAACACCUCACGGCACGAGCUGACGACAGCCAUGCAGCACCUGAACCGGCAGUCCCCGAAGGGAAAAUCCUAUCUCUAGGACAGUCCGCCGUUGUCUAGCCCAGGUAAGGUUCUUCGCGUUGCGUCGAAUUAAGCCACAUACUCCACCGCUUGUGCAGGCCCCCGUCAAUUUCUUUGAGUUUUAACCUUGCGGCCGUACUCCCCAGGCGGUCAACUUCACGCGUUAGCUUCGUUACCAAGGAAUUGCUUCCCCGACAACCAGUUGACAUAGUUUAGGGCGUGGACUAC
rnacentral:misc_RNA from 1 species